rnacentral:rRNA from 1 species
GAUGAACGCUAGCUACAGGCUUAACACAUGCAAGUCGAGGGGCAGCAUGGUCUUAGCUUGCUAAGGCCGAUGGCGACCGGCGCACGGGUGAGUAACACGUAUCCAACCUGCCGUCUACUCUUGGACAGCCUUCUGAAAGGAAGAUUAAUACAAGAUGGCAUCAUGAGUCCGCAUGUUCACAUGAUUAAAGGUAUUCCGGUAGACGAUGGGGAUGCGUUCCAUUAGAUAGUAGGCGGGGUAACGGCCCACCUAGUCUUCGAUGGAUAGGGGUUCUGAGAGGAAGGUCCCCCACAUUGGAACUGAGACACGGUCCAAACUCCUACGGGAGGCAGCAGUGAGGAAUAUUGGUCAAUGGGCGAGAGCCUGAACCAGCCAAGUAGCGUGAAGGACGACUGCCCUAUGGGUUGUAACUUCUUUUAUAAAGGAAUAAAGUCGGGUAUGGAUACCCGUUUGCAUGUACUUUAUGAAUAAGGAUCGGCUAACUCCGUG